CUCCCGUCUUUCACAUUACCACCUCCAGUAGUCUUGUAGUUAGGGAAGGGGAUGUGGCCACUCUCGAUACACUUGAUAUCCUCCACGAGGAUUUCAUAAUGCCUCUUCACGUCUUCCGCAGUUUUCCCUCCGAUGGCCUUGGCGACAUUGUCCCAACGGUCCGGUGUGUCCUUGUCGUACACAGCCAGAGCCUUCUCAAAGGCCUUGUCCUCCCUAGCUGUCCAAGUGCCUGAGCCAUUGGAUGACAUUCAGCCUGAUGCAAUUUGAUUGAAUUUAGACAAGUAUGAACCGCUAAACAAAAUGGAAUAGCCGAAAGAAGACGAAUAGCAAAAAGAAUGCAGAAGAGAUUGAGACUUCAGUUAAAA
rnacentral:lncRNA from 1 species